CGUUCCCGGGCCUUGUACACACCGCCCGUCACACCACGAAAGUUGGUAACACCCGAAGCCGGUGGCCCAACUCUUGGGAGGGAGCCGUCGAAGGUGGGAUCAGCGAUUGGGGUG
rnacentral:rRNA from 1 species